AGUCAGAAGAGGUCCUCAUGGUCCUUUAACAGGGACAUUGCUGUCUAUUAUGACUGGUCAUCUUAUUUACUAAUUACUCCACUAUUCAAAUUAGGGCAGUAUUAUAAUACAUGCCUUGUUCGUUCUAUUUAAAAUUUCCCUUUGUUCUCAAAGAACAGGUUAGAUUUAGGUUUUAAUUGGUUUUCAUGCCCUCAUGAGACUUAAAAAGGGGGCCACAAAUCAGCCCAGAUAUGUUCCUACUCUUAAAGAAGGGUCGGCUGAUUCAACAAUCGAUUUGCUUUUCAUAGACUUGUUUCUCGUGGGUAUCUCUGAAACGAGUUUAGCUGCCUCAGCAAGUGAAGAACAACCCCCGGAAAGAGACACAAUUAUGCUUGUUGGAAGGAAACCAUGGGAGCAAGAGAUAAAACAGUAGAAGACAGAAUAAGAUGCCGCAACGUUGUAGUUUUGUGUACCCAGAUGUCUGUUAGCAGUUAACCCCUGACUUUUUAGAUAAGUUGCUAAUCAUGUGUAAGCUAUUUUUGUGUAACAACAGAAAAGUACUGAAGCUUAACUAUAGGCUGCUGUGUCAGCCACCUAGAGGGUAUAAAAGCUUGCUUAGCUUUUAAUAAAGUUGUCUUCGAUUCACCACAGUCGGAGUCCAUGCCUCUUAAUACACCACAAAUGGCACCCAACAUGGGGCAAUGAAACGACUAGCUGUCGAUCCAGUGGCGUAGCUCAGCUGAACUUUGAGACGGACGCUGCAACGAAGCGUUACCAGCGCGCUCAAUUACCUCUCGCAGGAUGAAGGUCUUGUUUCCAGACUUGAAUACUCAUUUUUAAAAGAAAUAUCAAAUGAAAGGCUAUUUGCACUUCUCUGGGAACUUAAAUGGCUUCUUGAUAGAAGAACACAGCCAUACUUUAUCCAACAUGUUUGUUCACAUACCUCUCUGCCAAGACCUAUCAGUGAGGGAAAUAAUGAAGCAGACCGUCUUACAGGCGCUGCAGUAUUACCAGAUCAUUUUGUGCAAACCCGUCUGUCUCAUGACUUUUAUUAUCAAAAUGCAAAAGCCUUGCAAAGGUCAUUUCAAUUAACACAAGACCAAGCUAGACAAAUUGUGCAAUCAUGCCCUGAUUGUCAGCAUGUUUUACCUACACCCUCAGUUGGAAUUAAUUCACAAGGAUUGUCCUCACUUGAAAUUUGGCAGACAGACAUUACUCAAAUACCAGAAUUUGGUAGAUUUAAACACGUCCAUGUGUCAAUUGAUAGCUUUUCUUCCUGCCUUUAUGCCUCAGUACACACAGGCGAAAAAUCUAAAGAUAUGUGUCGACACUUUGCAACCUUGGGAGUUCCAAAAACCAUAAAAACAGAUAAUGGCCCAGGCUAUAUAGCACACAAAACAGAGAUGUUUUUCCAGCAAUGGGGAAUAAAACAUGUUACGGGCAUUCCUCACUCAGGAAUUGCACACAGGACAGGCAAUUAUUGAACGAACACAUAGUACUCUUAAAACAAAGCUACAAAAACAAAAAAGGGGGAGCCAAGAGUUAUCCCCACAAGAACGAGUAGCAAAAGCCCGUUAUGUGUUGAAUCUUUUAAAUCGAUGGACAGAGGAUGGGCCUCCUAUACAACGACAUUUUAACUCACAAACCCAUCCUGAAAUCAAUAAUAAAGCUUUAGUGAUGGUAAAAAAUUUACAAACAAAUCAAUGGGAAGGACCUUUCCCUCUAAUAACAUGGGGUAGAGGAUAUGCUUGUGUCUCCACAGGUUCCAGCCCAAGAUGGGUGCCUGCACGGUGAUCAAGCCAUCUGUGUCACAACCAGCAUUAUCCCCACCUGAUGAUAACUGCAUCAGCAGUAUGGAUACCGCGUCAACCCAAGACAAACAUUUGGGUGACCUUGGCAAAAAAAACAGGACAAGAUACGCUGUGUUUGUCGACUGCUUCUCCAGAGAAUCCUUUUACAACCUGUUUGGUGGGUCAACCCAUAGAAGCGAAUCAGUGACCCAUCCCACAAGCUCAACAAAGUGCGAUACCUUUUGAUCAGACUGUGGUUGAUAACUGGGAUGGUUAGGCCUCAUACCUGCCAGCUAGCGAACAAGAAGCACAAGAAUUAGAUUUGUUAGGUGCUGUAAAAAUGGAUUAUUGUUUAUAUUUUAAUUAUACAGGAAAAAAUCAAUCAAUGAGUCAAUGACUAAAUGCAACAAUAGGAGCUUUUAGAAAUGCUAGCUUAUGGUGUAAUUAUACUAGUAGAAAUGUAUCAAGAUCUAACAAUCACCCACUCAAAUUACCUCCAGGAUUGUUUUUAAUUUGUGGGGACCGUGCAUGGCCUGGAAUUCCGUCAUAUGCAAAAGGAGGGCCCUGUAACAUAGAUGGAUUAAGCCUAUUAACGCCUAAUACAUCCAUGAUCAUUACUCACAAAUUGAGGAACGUAAAACACCAAAAAAGAGCCACACAUGCCUUUACUUCUGAUUGUAAGGAUGAUACGGAAUUUUGGAGUCCUAGUGAAAUUACAGCAGCAUCUGUGUUAACACCUGGAGUUCCUACAGCUCAGGCACUGUCUACUUUAAAUUAACUUGGCUGUUGGUUAGCAAAACAAACUAAUGCAACCUCCCUGGCUUUGAGUGGACUAUCGUUAGAUGUUGAUUCAAUUAGACAUGCGAUGCUUCAAAAUAGAGCAACCAUAGAUUUUUUACUGCUAGCACAAGGUCAUGGUUGUCAAGAUUUUGACGGACUCUGUUGCAUGAACUUGUCUGACCAUUCAGAAUCUAUUCACAAGAGUACUGAUGUUUUAUGUGGUCAAGUACAGAAACUAUGACAAAGUGAUGGAUUUAA